UACGUAGGGUGCAAGCGUUGUCCGGAAUUAUUGGGCGUAAAGAGCUCGUAGGCGGUCUGUCGCGUCGGCUGUGAAAACUCGGGGCUCAACUCCAAGCGUGCGGGCGAUACGGGCAGACUUGAGUACUACAGGGGAGACUGGAAUUCCUGGUGUAGCGGUGAAAUGCGCAGAUAUCAGGAGGAACACCGGUGGCGAAGGCGGGUCUCUGGGUAGUAACUGACGCUGAGGAACGAAAGCGUGGGUAGCGAACAGG
rnacentral:rRNA from 1 species